rnacentral:lncRNA from 1 species
UGAAUGUUGGGGAUGAUGAAUAGUGUGAGGAAAAGGGGGAGAAAGGGGUUUAAGGGGUGAAAAACCCGACUGGGGCCCACUUGGGGAGGCUCCGCCCUUUUCCCGCGGUCCUGGCCCGCGCCCGCGGCCGGCAAACGUGGGGGAGAGUCAGGGGACCCGCGGUCCCGCCCCGCGGCCGCGGGUGGUGACCGCGGGUGUCU